GCCCUCAUAGCUCAGCAGGAUAGAGCGCAGGUUUCCUAAACCUGAUAUCCAGGUUCGAGUCCUGGUGAGGGCA
rnacentral:tRNA from 1 species